rnacentral:misc_RNA from 1 species
GAUGAAGAACGUAGCGAAAUGCGAUAAGUAAUGUGAAUUGCAGAAUUCAGUGAAUCAUCGAAUCUUUGAACGCACAUUGCGCCCGCUAGUAUUCUGGCGGGCAUGCCUGUUCGAGCGUCAUUUCAACCAUCAAGCCCUGUUUAGGCUUGUGUUGGGGCCCUGCGGUUGCCGCAGCCCCCUAAAUGCAGUGGCGGGCUCGUUGUCACUCCGAGCGCAGUAGCGUAUCUCGCUCUGGGCGUGGCGGCGGGUGCUAGCCGUGAUACACCCACUAAGGUUGACCUCGGAUCAGGUAGGAAUACCCGCUGAACUUAAGCAUAUCAAUAAGCGGAGGA